rnacentral:lncRNA from 1 species
AGAAGAUCAUGGAGUGGCUAAAGCUUGGAUGUGGUUAUCUUUAUUUGAUGCCUUGCUCUUCAAGUUAAUAUUGUAUGCAUUGUGUGUUGCUUGAUUCUAAUAUCCAAGGGAAUUUGGGGUUUCUAUAUGGCAUUCUUGCCUAUUGGAUUGCUACCCAUCAGUCAGAUCUUUUCAACUCUUAACUUUUAAUUUUGUGCAAAGGAUUAG